AGGCAGUGACUGUUGGUAAAUCUAUACUUGGCAGUGAACUUCAUCCCAUGCCUUAAAUCAAAAAAGUUCCUUCAUCAGAUAUAAAUGGAGAUUUAUUUUGAUUUUUUUCUCCUCAGUCCAGCCAUGUUUUCUCCUGUUGGCAGGUGAAAAUGAAAUAGUCUCAUUCUGAAACAGGGAAGUAAUUGUGGCUUAAACAUAAAAUUACUAUUUAGUGUUAAACCCUUUGAUGAAUACACAAGCUGUUGUUACUUCACAACAAAUAUCAAUAAGCAGCAUGAAUGAGUAUACAUAAUUCAUAAUAUUUAACUUGAAAGUGCAUCUUUUUCUUACAGUGAUUGAUUAAUUUUUCUUGAGUUUGUCCAGUGACUUCAUCACAAUUUAAUACAAAAUGCUUUUCUGUUGGAGAGUGAACAGUAACAUGACACAUUAAAUGUUACAAAAUUAGCUUUUCUCCCACCCCUUUGCAAGGUCCAGAAGUCCAAAAGCUUUGUGGUUGCAUUGCUGAAUGAAACAAGGAAAAUAACACCAUUAUCAAUCAGUCAGCCCUUAGCACUUAGGACUUUAUUAUAUGAAGAAUAAGAAAUAUUCAAUCGAGGUUAUGCUCAGUAAGGAAGAAUUCAAAAGGCAGGAACUAACUGAAAUACAAUGAUCAGAAUGUGGGUUUUUUUAACCUCAAACUGUUUGAAUGUUGUGUGUAACACACAGCACUUCCUAUUUUAAUUGACUGUUUCUUUGCCCAUAGGGGAAUUUUUCCUUUACCAGAGAGGCCCAAGGGACGGGAAGCAAAAGGUUUGUUUUUGCAAGAAGUUGCAGUGCUUGUUUUCUGUCAAAGCUCCACAAAGGAUGGUGAUUACCCCAGCACUGCUGGGGAAGUCUGGAGAAACCCUCAGAGCAGCUGAGUUUAGUUUGAUGACAUUGCUGCCACCAUGCUCUGACUCCCAGUUCCUUGGCUGAAAGGAAAUCCAAACCUGCAUGGCUGUAAUUGUAAUUACAUUCCAAAUUCUUAAACCCUCUAAGUAAAUGUGAAUUAGAAAGGAUGAUUUUAAAUGUAAUGAAGGUGCUGUAGAUAAAAAGGUGGCAGUGAUGUUGGGAAUGUCAACUCUGCAGUGGCUGGAGGAAAAAGUCCUCUCCAUU
rnacentral:lncRNA from 1 species